UACAGAGGGUGCGAGCGUUAAUCGGAAUUACUGGGCGUAAAGCGCACGUAGGCGGCUCGGUAUGUCGGGUGUGAAAUCCCCGGGCUCAACCUGGGAACUGCAUCCGAAACUGCCUUGCUCGAGUAUGGGAGAGGGAAGUGGAAUUUCCGGUGUAGCGGUGAAAUGCGUGGAUAUCGGAAGGAACAUCAGUGGCGAAGGCGACUUCCUGGACCAAUACUGACGCUCAGGUGCGAAAGCGUGGGGAGCAAACAGG
rnacentral:rRNA from 1 species